GGUUAAUUCCGAUAACGAACGAGACCUUAACCUGCUAACUAGACUUUUUCAUUUUAUGGAUGAUGACUUCUUAGAGGGACUAUGUAUAUCAAGUACAUGGAAGUUUGAGGCAAUAACAGGUCUGUGAUGCCCUUAUAUGUCCUGGGCUGCACGCGUGCUACACUGAUGCAUACAACAAGUGCCUAGCUAGACAUAGUAUGGCAAUCUGGAAUAUGCAUCGUGAUG
rnacentral:rRNA from 1 species